CGCACCGCGCGCCGCUCCUCCCACCUCCUAAAGGCCAGCGCGGGGGACCGCCGCGCUCCGUCAGGACCCGGCUACUCCAGGGACGGCGCAAUGCGGCUCUGAGCUCGGGCAGCGGCACGGCUCCGCGCAGGCGGUGCGGGGCGCACGAUUCCUGCCUCUGCCCGUGCGCCUCCUUGGAGCAGCAAUCCUGAGCAUCCUCAGGGCUUGCCGAGGCAGAGAAUCAUCAUUUUCUGGCAAACAAACCAAGCCCAAGACCUAAUUGUGCUGAAUGUCAUAUGCUGGCAGCUGUUGGAAUCUACCCUUUGGCUUAGCUUUCAAACAAGAGGUUCAUCUUACCCAGGAAAAGGAUGGCUUACAUGAAGAUGAGAUGGGUAUAUAUUUCCCUGGUGAUCCUGGGAGUCUUUUGUCUGUAUUAUAACCUGGAGGAUCUGAAUCCUUUUAAAGGAGAACCAGUGAUUUUCAAGAAUGAACUUGGGGACUUCCUUCAGCUCCCAGAUAUAGAUUGCGGGCAGGAUCCCCCCUUUCUUGUAUUGCUGGUGGCUUCAUCUCAUGAGCAGCGGUUUGUCCGCUUGGUCAUCCGGAGCACGUGGGGAAGAGAAAAGAUCAUAAAGGGAAAGCGGAUAAAAACAUUCUUUCUCCUGGGAACCUCUCCCAGUAAAGACAUCUCAAGAGAAGUGGCCAAGGAGAGCCAGAAGUUUCGUGAUAUUAUCCAGAAGGACUUCACGGAUGUUUAUUUCAAUCUGACCCUGAAGACCAUGAUGGGGAUGCAUUGGAUCUACCGCUUUUGUCCACAGACGACUUUCGUGAUGAAAACUGACUCUGACAUGUUUGUCAAUAUCUACUAUCUGACAGAACUGCUCCUGAAGAAAAACAGAACAACUCGAUUUUUCACCGGCUUCCUAAAACUGAAUGAGUAUCCCAUCAGGAGACGGUUCAAUAAGUGGUUUGUCAGUAAGUACGAAUAUCCAUGGGACAAGUACCCGCCCUUCUGCUCCGGCACUGGCUACGUUUUCUCUAGCGACGUGGCGGGUGAGGUGUAUCGUGUUGCCAGUAGCGUGCCCUUCAUUAAACUGGAAGAUGUCUUUGUGGGGCUCUGCCUGAAAAGACUGAAGAUCAGCCUGGAGGAACUUCACUCCGAGCAGACUUUCUUCCCCGAAGGGUUACCGUUCACCACCUGCCGUUAUAAGAAGAUUGUGGCCUCCCAUCACAUCAGGCCGCGAGAUGUUCUGAAGUAUUGGCAGGCUCUGGAAGGUUCUCUGCAAGAAGAGUGUCCAGAUAACUGAGGGGAACCUAGAAGUGCCUGUGGACCACCGCGGUGAUGGCUUUUGAAAGAUCUUUGAUGGUGUGGCUGAGACUCCCUAGGUUAGGGAGGGAGCGAGGAAGGAAGAGGCAGAACACAAGGUCUUGCAGCCUUCCCCAUCUAAAUGUAAAUGCCACCACGGAUGAAGCCCCAUUUGGUACCCAAGCCGUAACUGACACCAUCUCUUGAGCACCUACCCUGUGGCACUAAUGAUGUGCACCUGCAUCUUCUCAUGUCAGGGGAGAGCAUCCACAUGGAGUGGUGGGUGUCACCGUCGCCACUUCACACACAAGGAGACAGCAGCUUAGAGAGGGAUGGGGAUCUGUCUCAAGGAUGACAGCCGGCAGACACCAGAGCGAGGGUGAGAACCCCCUGCCGUCAGAUUCCAGGCGGCAGCCUCUGUCUCAGUCCACCCUUGUGAGCUGCCUCCUGGGAGAGGAUGGUGGUGAUGGGGGCUCCAAGGGGGGGCCUUGCUGCUGGCAUCCGUCAGUCCCUUGUAAGAGCCCCCCCCUCCUCCUCAAGUCCCAUUCUUGUGCUUUAUACUGCAGAGACUGGGGUGAACCAAAGCCCCCCCAUCCCUCCGGUGCCGAGUUCCCUGUGUUCACGAUGACCUGAGACCCUGUUAGCAGCUUGGCACUCAACUCACUACAAAGACACGGCUGCAGUGGCUGCAACUCCACCCCCAGGAAACACCCAGUUCCGGAUAGAAACCAGUCUUUAGAAACCAGACUCAGCUCAGAAAUCACUGUGAAACUUGGCCUGCUAUACGGACCUGUUGGCCCUUCUGCUGAGUGGAGGACUCCUGAGAGCACCGCAUUUCUUCCCCGCUGUCCAGCAGACAGGGGUCUGUAGGCUGCACCUGUCCUUGGUCGGGACUUCAGAUCUCCAAGUGCGCACUGGGGGUGGUUGGAUGCAUCAUCCAUGAAGGAUGCUGGGAGCUUUUCUGGGAACUGGUAAUGAUUUAAUUCAAGACCCUCUCAAGCAGCUCCUGGGAUGCUGAACAUUGAACUGAGUCCUGGUCCAAGGUGCGUCUCCAUGGGUGCGUGUCCUAAGCCCAAUCCCAGCUCAGCGUCACCGAAUUCCUCAGAUGCCCGAGGAACAGCUGCUGCAUUUUGUGAUGGGGACUUUAGUAUGCAUCUCCUGGGGGUUUGGAAGAGCCUGUUCUGCAGGGUUGUGUAGAAACAAAGCACUUUUUUUUUUUGGCUAGGAUCUGCCCAUACAGCCACUGUCCCAUGACAUACAAAGCCAUCUUGCUCCCGAUCUCCAGGAGGAUCGGUUCUUACUUUCUACUUUAUUGCACCGAACUUUAGCAGCACUCAGAGGGGAGGCCUCACAUGGCUGUGAAACUUAUAAAUGUCGGACGAAUCUCUGACCUGAACAUGGGAAGAGGUGUCUGCUGCAGAAUGGUCACAGCCAGGUUGAUCUGCAAAGUGGCAUCUUAUUUUGCACAGCGUUUCUCGUUUCUGGAUGGAGCUGCUUCUUGGCGGAUGUGUUUUCUUAUCCUGGCUGCUCUGAACAUGCUGGGUCAUGUUCAGAAAAGCUACCUUCUCAGAUAAGAAAACCAAGACUCAGGAAAGUGGAGUGACUUUGCCAAGUCCUUCAAUUACCAGCAUCUCCAGAAGCAGAAACCAGCAUCAGAAAGCUCAUGUCAGCCAUUCAUUCAUCUGUUUAUUCACUCUUCGGGCAAAUACGGUCAGUGAUUUUUACAAGACACCAGGAAUGAGGGUCAAGCUGAGGUUCACGGCCAUGGGUUCUGCAAACAGAGUGAGAGCUGGACAAACACACGAUGUCAAGAGGAUAGAGGGGGCGUCUGUUCCCUUGGCAACCAAAAGAAGCAGUGUUUGUUCAGUGCCAUCUCUGUCGAUAGACGCCAUAAACCUUUUCCACACCUGCUGUCUCGAUUCCUCGCAGCAGCCAUUCUCAUUAUAAACAACCCCCUGGUUUUGAGUUGAGGUUCGGAGUGACCCAUUGACUUGACAGGGAGGCUGAGAUGUGAGGAGACCACCCCUCCCUCACCCCCUGGCCUUCAGUGCCUCCCCUUUCACCAGCGCGUGGUAGGUGAGCCCUCCCACGGUGCUUAGGGACUGGUAAACCUCCUGAUUCUCUCAGGAGGCUCAGCUCUGUCCCCGGCCCAGCUCUCCAAGGGGUCUGCCAUCUUGUCUUUGUUCCCCUUGCCACCAUUUCUUUCCCAAGUGCCAACAACAUCUCUGCUCCUUCCCUGUCCUGUGUGACCUUCUGGGAUUCGGCCCUUUGUCACCAGUGGUGUCCCAGGAACCUCCUCUUUAGCUGGGUCCUCCGACCUGUCCUGUCCUGGCCAGCCCUGUCCUGAGUUCACUCAGCUCUCCAUCUGAUGGUUUGAACAAGUGUUUGGCUUCAGAACAUGAACCCCUCCAGGCCAGCCCAGCCCACUUUCCACCUCUGUUUACCCGAAGACCUUGCCAAAGAAGCUAUCCCUCAAAAUAGUGUGGAUUCCACACUACAGGCAUUAGCGUCUAUCAGCGUGUGUGCAUGUGUGUGUGUGUGCCUGUGGGGGUGAUCUGAGGCUGUAAGCUCAGGUGCUCAGUGGUGGCCAGUAUCUGUGUGUUACUUGAUCUCCCCGAGUCUGUGAAGGGCAGUAAGAGGAGCGAGGUGAAGUUUGCUCACGCGGGGUGUAAAGAGCAGGAGCCCCCAGUGUUCUCAGCUCUGGGAGCGUCAGUGAGAGUCUGAGAGGUCCCUUUGUCCUCUAUGACAGAGCAGGUUCAUGCUGCCCUGGGCGUGGUGGGAAUCGAGGCUGCAGGAAUGGUCUAGAGUCGCCUUGUUCAGAGAUUUUCCGGACUCCACUUUUCAAGCAAGAUCUUUAGAAAAAGUGAAAGAAAGUGAAAGAGAUCAAACAGUAUCUUGAAUUUGCAUGUAUUCCUCCAGAAGCAAGAAGUAGUGUGCACACACUACUAUUUAGAGUGGUCUGUGCCUCUGAGCCCCGAUACACGGGCUAAAGGGGAGAGACCAGGUUGGGGCAGUUCUCAUGGGCUCUCCAGGCAGAAGUCUAUGGCUUUACCAGAGAUUAAGUAAUUAACAAGCCUGCUUUCAUACAGAAGCUGCUGUUCCUCCUGAUUUUAAAAAUAGAUGAGAUGCUUACCCCACCUUCACAUCUCCCACUGGGGAGUAUUUUCUUCUCUCUCUCUCUCUUUUUUAAGAAUUUGUUUCAGUAUUUGUCGUAUCGAGACUGACAUUUUAGCAGUUUCCCAGGUGUGGUCAACUCCUUGCAGGUUUCUGAGAAGGGACACCUUCUCUCUGUUCAGCCCCCUGCCUGGUAGAGAGGAGAUACUUUGUCGGUUAGUUUUUGGGUUAGAUGUUUGGGCAGAAUGGUGGACUGGAGAAAAAGAUGAAGUGAACUGCAGGUCCCUUCAAACAUUAUUCUUAAAGCCUCUUUUCUAGAUUGUCAUUGACACAUAUUUUUAUUUAUUUGGUUCUAUAUGAUCCAGAAGUCUAUAUGUGAGCCUGGGCUGAGGUGUGUUAGAAAUAAACUCCCAAUGGUGUGUCUGGGAGGUGAAUUGUACUGACAUUCUCUGUUUUGAAUUUGAUGGGAGGAUUUGUAGCUUGUGGGAAGUUAGGAACCUGAGUUCCUUUAUUUUGCUGCUUUUUCAGUAUGACUAUGAGGGAAGAACUCGUUGCUCUCAGAUCAGAAAUUGAUCAGUGAAGCCACCUUCCCCUCGUAUGGGUUAAAGAACUGUGAUGGCUGGAUAAGCCGAGGGGACAAGGAAGCAGGCUAUGUCCCCAGUGCCUGCUGAUUGGAGGAGAGACAGACAAAAAAAAUUAGUUUUUAAUUAAUUUAAAAACCUAAUUCUUCUCUUAUCAGACACAGUCAGCCUUAAGCAUAAGUAGAAAAAUGAAUUCCGUAGCCAAAUGUAGUUUUUGGAGGCAUGCUGUUUUGCCUUAUCUGUUUGUCCCACUGCCUGUGUACUCUGGUUGAGUACACAGUUUGGGUGGCUGGGGUGGCCUUUACCCAGCCUGGCCCAGAGUUCCUGCCACACGUGCUGUGGGGGAGGCCAUGCAAGGUCUUGAGUCCCCAAACAAAGAGACAAACCGGGAAUUCCCUUGUAGUUCAGUGGCUAAGACUCUGUGCUCCCAAUGUACGGGGCUGGGGUUUGAUCCCCAUUAGGUAAUUAGAUCUCUCUUGCUGCAACUAAGACCCAGUACAGCCAAAUAGAUAAAUAUUAAAAAGAGAGAGAGAGAAACCAAAGAAGUAGUGAUACCCUUAGUUAAAUUAUGCUCUGGAAAAUGUCAGAUGGCAGAGGGUGGGGGGUGGGGAUUGAUCUGUUUUCCACCUGGUCAAAUAAGACAUCAAGAAAAAUCCAGCAUGCCUGGAAAUUAUUUAAUGCCUAUUGAGAACACAUGAUGUGUUCAUGGACAAAAUUUGCUUGUUUCAGAGGUCCCCAACUUCUUUGGCACCAAAGGCUGGUUUCCUGGAAGACAAUUUUUCCAUAGACCUGUGGGUGGGAGAGAUGGUUUGGGGAUGAUUCAAGCACAUUACAUUUAUCAUGAACUUUAUUUCUAUUACUACUACAUCAGUUCCACCUCAGAUCAAGCAUUAGAUCUUGGAGGCUGGGGACCUAAAAGACAAGAAGUAAAAAUAAAACUCUAUACUACUGACUGAUAACCUGAAAAUGUCUCCCUGUAUUUUAGGAGAAUUUACUAGACUCUUAUGUCAUCAUAUUUUGGAAGUAGGCAUAUAUAUUUAUUUAUUAUAUAUUAAUGAUAUUUAUCUUUAAUAAAAUUAAGCUAUUAUGAUAGCAGAGUUCACUUAACUUGGUUUGUUCUCAGUUGUUGAUGAUGUGAUAAACUUGUGUUCUAGAAAGUCAGAAGUGUAAGAUUUAAACUGGACAAUAUGCACCCCCCCCACAUUGAUGUUUUCUAUAUUUUUUUGUUUGGGAAAAAUACUUUAAAAAUUCAACUUUGAUUUUAUAUGUUUAGAAAAAUAAGCUGAACAACCUUGACAUGCUUAUCAUUGAACGACAUGGGAAUUCCUUGUUUACCUUGAGGUUUGGAAGCAAAGACAUGGGGCUGUAACUUUCGGGGGGUCCUGAGGGUACAGUGUUUGGUGAGAGGCAAGAGAUGAGGUCUCCGGUCGGGACUCAUAAGCCUGGGGCUUUAGGGGCAGGCACCCUUUGUGAUUUUCUUUCUCUCAGGUACAUUUCUAUUUUUUAAAACUACCAUUUAAGUUUAAGAACUCAAGCCUUGUGAACUGAUACAACUGUACCUUUAGAAUUUUCAUGGUGACUCAUCUCUGAGCUAGAGCCUGAAUCCUUGACCUUUCAAAGUGUCAUUUACAUGGAAAUAAAAUGAUCAAAACAGA